GCAGUAGCCGCGGGAAUACGUAGGUGGCAAGCGUUGUCCGGAAUUAUUGGGCGUAAAGGGCUCGCAGGCGGUUUCUUAAGUCUGAUGUGAAAGCCCCCGGCUCAACCGGGGAGGGUCAUUGGAAACUGGGAAACUUGAGUGCAGAAGAGGAGAGUGGAAUUCCACGUGUAGCGGUGAAAUGCGUAGAGAUGUGGAGGAACACCAGUGGCGAAGGCGACUCUCUGGUCUGUAACUGACGCUGAGGAGCGAAAGCGUGGGGAGCGAACAGGAUUAGAUACCCCUGUAGUCCCUGUCUCUUAUAC
rnacentral:rRNA from 1 species